rnacentral:lncRNA from 1 species
UAUUAAUCCAGGUGGCGGUGAGUGUGAAGGAAAAGUAAAGCUGAGUAGGUAGACUGAAAAAGAAGGGGGGCGUGGUGCUACGUUCAAUAAACAGAGAGGAAAGUUCUUGGAUAAUUUGACCUAUGAGCAAAGCUCCAAAUGAUGGGAGAUGGACAGCCACCCGGGAGAAGCAAGUACAAAUUCCCUGAGGAGCCUGGACAAGCGGGUACUGCCCUCCCUUCUGCAGAGGAAGAAUUCAGGCUUCCAGCAGCCAAGGGCUUGCUUGCGUGCGGCUGUGUCAGGACUGCAAUUCAAGCCCCUAGUUUCUUGUUCAGGGCUUUCUUCACUCCACGAAGACCAUCAUUCUAACAUCCUACAAAUGUCCGGUGCAAAUGUCUGUGUGAAAUAUAUGCUCUUUUCUGUCUGUUUACUUCAGACUCUGGGGAGAGAUCGGAGAGACAUUAGUAACUUCUUUUUUCUUUCCUCAAGUCCCUGUGACGAAAUGACUGUUUCUGCAGUGCUUGUUUUCUGGGCCCUGGAAAGAUUCCAAAGCUGUCACUGUGUUUUCCAUCUGGCACUUUUUCAAGAAUCUCUCUGCUGCUUCCUGCAGCCUGGAGGUCGUCCUGCAGAGGCCCCUCUACCACCCCUGACAGGCUGGUGGGGCAGGACAUAGGCAUCACGGAGCUGUGCAAUAGGCAGGAACAGCUUGACGAGGGGGCGGGCGCCCCAUUGCGUGCAAACUCACUCCAAGACGGGGAAGCGGCCCCCAGAGACAUGGUUUUCAAAAGUAGAAAACUACCUGCUAAUUUGUUACGGAAACUUUAAGUAUUGAAUGAAUCUAGUGAUUUUUUAAAAUAUAAUUCAACCUAUGGGAAAAAAUCCAGCUUGACUUUCUUGAAACACUCACGGGUCACACUAUUUGGAAAGCAACACUGAAAAGAAACUUUGGAACUUCCAAGGGAAUGUGGAUGGUGAGUGAGCCUCUGCAUUACAGAGUUUGAGCCGUCCCACCUCCCCAAGAACGCUCAGGACCUCAAAGACCCAGCCAGAAAAGACCAAAGAGAUGAUGGAAGUCACAGCUUUGCAGAAACUUCAGAAAAUUUGUGUUUACAAAAGGGUUUGCAAUAAAAGCUGCUGCUCACGUUUUCCUUCUGAAAUAGGUCAAGGAAGUGAAACUCUGGAAGGUAACUCACAG